rnacentral:rRNA from 1 species
GACAGAGGGUGCAAACGUUGUUCGGAAUUACUGGCGUAAAGCGCGUGUAGGCGGCUAAGUAAGUCGGGCGUGAAAUCCCACGGCUCAACCGUGGAAGUGCACUCGAAACUGCAUAGCUAGAGUCCUGGAGAGGAAGGUGGAAUGCUUGGUGUAGAGGUGAAAUUCGUAGAUAUCAAGCGGAACACCGGUGGCGAAGGCGGCCUUCUGGACAGUGACUGACGCUGAGACGCGAAAAGCGUGGGGAGCAAACAGGG